UGAGCCCUCUCUGGCUGGGUCGCGUGGACGCGGCGGCGGGAAGCUUCAGGCCGGCGGUACUCGCCGGGCGCAGAGUCCACCAAAGCGAGCACGUGGGUCCCUCUGCCGAGAAAAUAGGCGCUACGAGAGCCGGCGCCCCUUUUUCCUCCUCAUUUCUUAGUAGUACUGGGUGGGCUCCAGCGUGGGCCCCCGAGGCAAAGCGGGUCCGUGAGAACGUCAGAAGGGCGCUCUGUGACGUCACAGCGUCCCCGCCCCCCGCACCCUCUGGGGGCCCUGGAGCGCCGACGGCAUUCGGGAAUCCAGGAAUGCGGAACCCGAGGAUACUGAGGGCCACUGUACAUUGCAAAAAAAUGGGACAAAAGACUUAGUGGAAAGGGUAUAAAAGCUGAUGAAGCAGAGCCUGAGGAUUUUGUGGUGGAAAAAGUACUACACCAAGGUGUGGUGAAUGGGAAGGUGGAAUAUUCCCUGAAGCGGAAAGGAUUUACACUUGCUGACAAUAAUUGAGAACCUGAAGAAAACUUAGAUUUUCCUGAGUUCAUUGAACUAUUUCUUAAUCCUCAAAAAAACUGGUAAAGGAAAAGAUAGUACAAAAAGAAAAUCUUUAUCCGAGAGUGAAUCUGAUGACAGCAAAUGAAAGGGAUGCUGCUGAAAAACCAGGAGACUUUGCCAGAACUCUUGAUCCUAAGCAAAGAAUUGGUGCCACAGACUGCAGUGAAGAAUUAAUGUUUCUAAUGGAAUGCAAAGACUCAGACGAGGCUGACUUGGUGCUGGCAAAGAGGCAAACGCAAAGGGGCAAACACGAAGUGUCCUCAAAUUGCAAAUUAUUUUUAUGAAGAGAGACUAACUUGGCAUUCCUGUCCAGAAAAUGAAACUCAAAAAUUGUUGCACUGCAGUAUACUGCCAUAUAGUGUGUGUGUGUGUAAAACCUAGGUCUUGAUUUUCUUAUUAGUGUGAAAUACUCUAUUUUUAAAAAAAUAGAGAUAGAGUCUCACUAUGUUGCCCAGGUUGGUCUCAAACUCUGGGCUCAAGUGAUCCUCCUGCCUUGGCUUCCCAAAAGUGCUGGGACUACAGACGUGAGCCACCCUGCCUGGCCAGCUAUUUUCUAAUGAAAUCUAUUUUCUACUGCAAAAUCUUGUUUUGAAGUAGAAUCAAAAGAGUUUUUGGGGUUUGUUUGUUUUGGGUAUUUGUUGGGGUUUUUUUCAUCAAUAGCACUUGUUACUUUUGAACAAGUAGGAAAAGCUUUCUGUAGCUGCUUCAUUUACCAGAAAAGAAUAUUUGGUUCCAUGGUAUAUUAUUUCCUCUUUUCUAAAUGUUGGGAACAUUUUCCAUAAUCAUUACUCAAUCAUAACUUGUGUUUAACCUAUAAUGCCUAAGGCUAUUCUGAAUUUUUGUUUGUUUGUGCAUAUGUAAAUAUACAUGUACAUAGUUG
ensembl:lncRNA CBX3P2 CBX3 pseudogene 2